rnacentral:rRNA from 1 species
GAGGGGGGACCAGCCACACUGGGGACUGAGACACGGCCCAGACUCCUACGGGAGGCAGCAGUGGGGAAUUUUGGACAAUGGGGGGAAACCCUGAUCCAGCCAUGCCGCGUGCGGGAAGAAGGCCUUCGGUUGUAACCGCUUUUGUCAGGGAAGAAAAGGACGCAGUCUAAUACAUUGCGGCCAUGACGGUACCUGAAGAAUAAGCACCGGCUAACUACGUGCCAGCAGCCGCGGUAAUACGUAGGGUGCGAGCGUUAAUCGGAAUUACUGGGCGUAAAGCGUGCGUAGGCGGUUAUGCAAGACAGAUGUGAAAUCCCCGAGCUCAACUUGGGAACGGCAUUUGUGACUGCAUGGCUUGAGUGCGGCAGAGGGGGGAUGGAAUUCCGCGUGUAGCAGUGAAAUGCGUAGAUAUGCGGAGGAACACCGAUGGCGAAGGCAAUCCCCUGGGCCUGCACUGACGCUCAUGCACGAAAGCGUGGGGGAGCAAACAGGAUUAGAUACCCU